AUUGAACGCUGGCGGCAUGCCUUACACAUGCAAGUCGAACGGUAACGCGGGGGCAACCCUGGCGACGAGUGGCGAACGGGUGAGUAAUACAUCGGAACGUACCCAGUAGUGGGGGAUAGCCCGGCGAAAGCCGGAUUAAUACCGCAUACGACCUAUGGGUGAAAGCGGGGGAUCGCAAGACCUCGCGCUAUUGGAGCGGCCGAUGUCGGAUUAGCUAGUUGGUGAGGUAAAGGCUCACCAAGGCUACGAUCCGUAGCUGGUCUGAGAGGACGACCAGCCACACUGGGACUGAGACACGGCCCAGACUCCUACGGGAGGCAGCAGUGGGGAAUUUUGGACAAUGGGCGCAAGCCUGAUCCAGCCAUGCCGCGUGUGUGAAGAAGGCCUGGUGUAAG
rnacentral:rRNA from 1 species